UGAUGUGAAAGCCCACGGCUCAACCGUGGAGGGUCAUUGGAAACUGGGAGACUUGAGUGCAGAAGAGGAAAGUGGAAUUCCAUGUGUAGCGGUGAAAUGCGCAGAGAUAUGGAGGAACACCAGUGGCGAAGGCGACUUUCUGGUCUGUAACUGACGCUGAUGUGCGAAAGCGUGGGGAUCAAACAGGAUUAGAUACCCUGGUAGUCCACGCCGUAAACGAUGAGUGCUAAUGGUUAAGGGGGUUUCCGCCCCUUAGUGCUGCAGCUAACGCAUUAAGCACUCCGCCCGGGGGAGUACGACCGCAAGGUUGAAACUCAAAGGAAUUGACGGGGACCCGCACAAGCGGUGGAGCAUGGGGGUUUAAUUCGAAGCAACGCGAAGAACCUUACCAAAUCUUGACAUCCUUUGACACUCUAGAAGAUAGAGUUUUCCCCUUCGGGGGACAAGUGACAGGUGGUGGCAAGGUUGUCGUCACCUCGUGUCGUGAGAAGUUUGGGUUAAGUCCCGCAACGAGCGCAACCCUUAAACUUAGUUGCCAGCAUUUAGUUGGGCACUCUAGGUUGACUGCCG
rnacentral:rRNA from 1 species